GCGGCUGCCCGCGGGGAGGCAGGUGGAGGGGCUGCGGAGGGACGGCUCGAGCCUCACGCUGUCGCCGCCGGGAGUCGCUUUCCCCGCCCAGCGGCCGCCGGCCUGGGGAGCGGAUCGCAACGCGGCCGCGCCCUGCCCGCUCCUCCCGGAGGUGUGACGGGGGGCGGCGCUCGCCCGGACAUGGACUCGCCGCUCCAGGUGGGCGGCGGCCUGUAAGCAGCGUCCCGGGCCGCGAGAGGCUUGGCGCCGGCCGCUGGGCGGGGAGGCGAGGGGCCGAGCUAACAUGGCCACCCCCGCCAAGGGGAAGAGCCUGCGGCCGCUGCACCCGGACACGCUGCGGCCACCAAAAAUCAACCUUAAUAUGGAAGAUGAGGUCCAGUUUGUGACAAUGAGAAAAACCCUGAAAGUCACAAAGCCUCGUUUUGAUGCAUCCUUGGUUUACCUGACCCGAAAAUUCAUGGAUCUUGUCAAAACUGCUCCUGAUGGUGUUCUUGAUUUGAAUGAAGUAGCAACAACUCUGGGGGUACGAAAACGAAGAGUAUAUGACAUCACCAAUGUAUUGGAUGGAAUCCACCUGAUUCAGAAAAGAUCUAAGAAUCUUAUCCAGUGGGUAGGAUCUGAUCUCGAUCAGGUUGCUGGAAAGGCAUCAGAACAGCAAAAGCUUAGAGAUGAACUUUCUGAUUUAUCAGCAAUGGAAGAAGCUCUGGAUGAAUUAAUUAAGGACUGUGCUCACCAGUUGUUUGAAUUAACGGAUGACAAAGAAAACACAAAACUAGCUUAUGUGACAUAUCAAGAUAUUCAUAGCAUUAAGGCCUUUCAAGAACAGAUCGUUAUGGCAAUCAAAGCUCCAGAAGAAACAAAACUAGAAAUACCAGCUCCUAAAGAAGAUUGUAUAGAAGUACGUAUAAAGAGCACAAAGGGACCCAUUGAUGUAUAUUUAUGUGAAGUGGAGCAAGAUAACCCAGGUGCCAAAACUUUUGAAGAUAUGGAUACUCUGACGUCAGAAACUAAAUCACCAGUACCUCUUGAUGAAGAACUCUGUGUGAACUGAAAAUCAGUUAUUUGCUCUGCUCUACUUGUUACCUAUACAUAUUUUGAUUUGUGUAACACUAUUGUAUAAUAUAAUCUGGUGCCCUGCUGUUCUGUGAUUAGAUGUAUAAUGCCUUGCUGCAGAAUCUUAGUUUGCAAAACAGGAAAACUUGACAACUAACUCAAUAGCUCACUUCAAGUGAGAGCGGAUAUGUCUGUCUUCAUCAAUAGAGAUGCAAGAUAACCAGUCAUAUAUGCCGGUUACUGCUGUCUGGAAGUAAACAAAGCAGGAUAUGUAGUUUGAUGGGAUGGUGUGGGGAGUAGUUAAGGUGACUUAUUUUCAGCAAUGCUAUUUGAAAAGCAGUAGUUGCCCUUCCCCCGGUGUCCACUAAGAUUUUUGUUUUUGUGCCACUUGUGGAAUAGCAACAUGGUGAUGUGAUUGGUCUGUUUCCAAUAGUCUUUGUGUUAACAUAAUCCUAACGCAAUAGUUUUUCCUUAUAAAGUAUCUCCUGUGUUUAGUGGCACUAAUCCUAGAGGGAUGAGGAGUUAACCCUUUGCAAAAGUCAGUGUAAAGAGGUCUGAGAUUUGUAGCUUACAGUAUGUAGUUAUAGAAUGUUAAUUGUCUUCCAUAGGGAGUGGAAAUAUUUUUUUAAAAUAACGGAGCCCAGGAUUUCUGUCAUUCAUGUGGGUAUAAAACUGUGGAUGACCUGUUCCUGUUUAUUUGCCACAGCAAUGCUCAAUAAAAUCACUAACUUCCCUCAAAAUUCUCAUGUCUUGUACCUUCCUACAUAAAUUAGUCUUGGAUUUCUUCUUUGAGUGCCAAGGAAAAGAGAAAUUGUGGAGUAUUUCUGUUACAAGAGUGAGAUCUUCUAAAUCAACUUGAAGGGUGAAGAACCAUUAGAACACCAAGUCCUGUGCAGAUUAUCAUGAAUAUCUGCACUGCAGAAUUCCCUGAGUCACUUGGAACUAUGAAUAUGUUUUUCAAACUUAAAAUGGGAAUAAUUCAGUUGAGUGCUUUCACACAAUUAUCUUCAAUUGCUUCAGUCUAAAAGAAGGUAAUUCAAGGAACCGUUUUUAGGAGCUUUGUUUCUACACUUGUGCGUAAUCUGCAGCGUUUGGGGGAAAUGGCCUUGUUUUUACUGUUUUUAUUAAAUAAUUUGAAUGAUAAUAAAUAUGGACAAGACAUUACUUCAAAAAUGACUAUUCUUUAAAGCCACAUCUGGACCAAAAUAUGGUCCUGCAAGACUACAGAUAAUAAAGAAGCACUUUUAAUUCUGAAGCUGCACUGUCACUAAACAGGAUUGUUAAAUAUAAUGUAAGAAUCAAGAACUGGAGCAUUGGAAGGCUUUUCUUACCCAUAAGGAAUAUGACAAGUAAACAUCAUGAAAAAUUGAAGCUAUGCCUUGCACUGUGUGGAUGUGGUUUGCAUCUAACUCCGCACGGUGCGAACAAUGAAGUUAAAGGCAUGGCUUUUGUGUGUAUAUAUAUCUGUAUCAUGUUUAGAUAGUCACUACUGGAGAUUGACCAAAUGAAUUGCACUUUUGCCUUUGUACAGCAAAAACUGAAAUAAACCUGUAAAUAUAAAAAGUCAGUCUAACGGUGUUUAGUUGAACUUCAUCUUGGCUUUCUCUUUAAACAGUAGAAAUUCAUUAGGUGAAUAUAAUCACGAUUCAUCGCAGUUUUUAAUUGCACUGUUAAACAAUAGAAUACCAAUUGAAAUUUAUUAAAUAUUUUGGAUGUUUUUCUACAUUUUCAUAUAUAUUGUAUUCUGUGGUGUAAUUGAAAUCAAAGUAUACUUUUAUUACAAAUAUUUGCACUGUAAAAAUAAUAAAAGAAAUACUAUUUUUCAGUUCACCUCAUACAAGUACUGUAGUGCAAUCUUUGUUGUGAAAGUGCAACUUACAAAUGUAGAUUUUUUUUUUUUGUACACAACUGCACUCAAAAACAAAACAAUGUAAAACUUUAGAUGCUACAAGUCCACUCGGUCCUAUUUGUUCAGCCAAUCGCUAAGACAAACCAGUUUGUUUACAUUUACAGGAGAUAAUGCUGUCCUCUUCUUUACAGUGUCAUCAGAAAGUAAGAACAGGUGUUCGCAUGGCACUUCUGUAGCCAGCAUUGCAAAGUCUUUACGUGCCAGAUAUGCUAAACGUUCGUAUGCCCCUUCAUGCUUUGGCCACCAUUCCAGAGGACAUGCUUCCAUGCUCCUGAUGCUCGUUAAAAAAAUAGUGCAUUAAUUAAAUUUGUGACUGAACUCCUUGGGGGAGAAUUGUAUGUCCCCUGCUCUAUUUUGCCCGCUUCUGCCAUAUAUUUCAUGUUAUAGCAGUCUCGAAUGAUGGCUCAGCACAUGUUCGUUUUAAGAACACUUUCACUGCAGAUUUGACAAAACACAAGGUACCAAUGUAAAUUUUCUAAAGAUAGCUACGGUACUUGACCCAAGGUUUAAGAGUCUGAAGUGCCUUCCGAAAUCUGAGAGGGACGAGGUGUGGAGCAUGCUUUCAGAAGUCUUAAAAGAGCAAUAUUCCGAUGCGGAAACUACAGAACCCAAACCAGCAAAAAAGAAAAUCAACCUUCUGCUGGUGGCAUCUGACUCAGAUAAUGAAAAUGAACAUGUGUCGGUCCGCACUGCUUUGGAUUGUUAUCGAGCAGAACCUGUCAUCUGCAUGGACACGCGUCCUCUGGAAUGGUGGUUGAAGCAUGAAGGGACAUAUGAAUCUUUAGCCCAUAUGGCAGGUAAAUAUCUUGCAACGCCGGUUACAACAGUGCCUUGAGAAGACCUGUUUUCACUUUCAGGUGACAUUGUAAACAAGAAGCGGGCAGCAUUAUCUCCUGCAAAUGUAAACAAACGAUUGGCUGAACAAGAAGUAGGACUGAGUGGACUUGCAAGCUUCAAAAUUUUACAUGGUUUUAUUUAUGAAUGUAGUUUUUACAUAAUUCUACAUUUGUUACAUAAUGCCACACUUGUUACAUAAUUCAACUUUCAUGAUAAAGAGAUUGCACUACAGUACUUGCAUUAGGUGAAUUGAAAAAUACUAUUUUUGGUUUUUACAGUGCAAAUGCUUUGUAAUCAAAAAUAAAUUUAUAAAGUGAGUACUGUACACUUUGUAUUCUAUGUUGCACUUGAAAUCAAUAAAUUUGAAAAUGUAGAACACAUCCAAAAAUAUUUAAAUAAAUGGUAUUCUAUUAUUUAAUCGUGUGAUUUUUUUUUUUUUAAUCGCUUGCCAGCCCUAAUUGAAACAUUGUAUUGUACCGGCUCACUAACUUCUAUAAUUAGAUGGUAUGUCAUUGUAGUAUUGAGGCAUCUUGACAGUGCUACAUACCCAGUGAUUGAUGUGUAAAUCUGUUGUUAAUGGUUGCUGCAUAUGUCUUGAACUUAACUGUAACGCAGUGCUUCAAAAUAGUAGAGCUGCCUUUUCAUAAUUUUUACCAUGCAAAAAGUUGCCUAAUUUGGAACUGUUCUCUCAGCUGCAGUUUCCCUUUUUUUCUAAAAUGUUUAGCAAGGUACAAAGUGUUUUACACUACUGUCCCUCUGGGACUAGUUUUCCGCUGUAGCUCACAAAAGCUUAUGCUCAAAUAAAUUGUUUAGUCUCUAAGGUGCCACAAGUACGCCUUUUCUUUUUGCGAAUACAGACUAACACGGCUGUUAUUCUGAAACCAAAUGAGUUAGUUCAUCUGGGAUAUCAACAACUUAAGCGUGGGACUCCCUAUUGUUUUGCUAUAGUAUAGAUUGUAUGCGUAUCAAGAUUUUUCUUUAAUUUAGCCAUGCAUAAUUUUAAACUUCCAACUGUGACAGACUUAGUGUAAUCACUUUCUCAAUUCACAGGAAGGUCAAAAAUAGAACUACCACUAUGUUACCUGCUGAAAUACUUUCCUGUAGUUAAGUCCCUUAAAGCCAAUGCUAAUUGGAGACUUCAGAUAAUCCAGAAUUUUUAAAUACUGAUGUUUUAUACAGCUAUUGUUUAAAACAAGUCUGCUUUUAUUUUGUUAACAAACAGCAGAGGGUAGUGGACUCUAAAUAGCUUCAAUGCAACUAAAUGAAGACCCCAAAUUAAUGCAAUUAUAUAUAGUUUGCCCACUGGACAAAGUAUUAAGCAGACCAGUACUUGUUUCAAGCAGCACUCAGAUGUUUUGUAUGUGAUCUAACAACUUCCAGAUCUAGGGAGAUGGCUUAGUGAAUUCCAAAUGGGACUUCAGCAUUAUUGGAAUCUCAUUAUCUUUCCUACUUUGGCUUACUUCAGAACAGUGAACUGUACCACGGGCUUCAAUAGAAGCAUUACUUAGGAUUCAUCUAAAGUUUAGGAAAAAAUGAAGGUACACUUGCUGGCUUGGUUAUAAUAUGGAUUGGGAAGAAGCUUGUAAAGGGUCCGGAGCAAGCAAGAAAUCCUAAAGCAUCUGUGAGUAGAAAGAUCAUUGGAGGAAGACAUGCUUUCUUGAGAACCUGAUCAGUAGACCUUAGUUUAAAUUGUCUGAGUUGCAAGACCUUAGUCUGUCUGACAAAACAUAUCUCCCUCUAGGUGGCAGAGUUGUUUGCUUUUGGACGGCAGUAAUCAUUUAAUUAGCUUUUUCUAGGAUCAUUUCAACAGUUUGGACAAUAGACUGUUUACUGUGAAAUAAACACUUAAGAUUUUAUUAGCACAAGAGUGAGGAAACCUACAUUUUGUGCAUUAGGAUAGGGUCUUGAACUGGAGCUGUGCAGCCAUGUAACAUGGAAUAAUGAGCUAUAGCAUAUAUUAAAGGGACUCCACUUAAACACACUUGUCAAUAUUUUUACCUGUUACAAGUAACAUUGAAGAUCACUAUUAAAGGGAAGUUGAGGAAGUUUUUUCUUUGUCAUGCAUUUAACAGCAUUUUGUAAAUAGUUUCCUCUUUUCACCUUUUAGUGUGGGUCUUUCACACAGAAACAGAUGGAGAAAAACAUUUAAACAUCAAAAAAAAUGUGGUAAAAUGACAAAAUUGUGAGGGAAGCCUGGGGCCAGAUGUAAAUAUGAAACUACUCUUAAUUUGUUUUUACAAUGGACUAGACAUCCCUGUAUACUGACUUUAAUAAUGCAUAUUAAAUAUUUUAAAAUGUGCACUCUACCCUCUAUUCAUGGUUAAACAGUACCUUUUUGUUACUUGAAUCUUUGUAACCUUAUCUAGUUGUGCUAAUGGAAGACCUUAACAUAUUUCAGAUGAUCAUGGAAGUAGCCAGCUAGCUGAAUAAGCUUAGACUUGACAGUGUAGGAAUAGAUGUUGAAUUAUGCUCAGCUUGAGUAUUAGAAACUGUCAUAAAAGGUAAAUGUGAUGGGAUACCUUAAUAGAGGAGAUGAGACUUUACUCCUGUGAGUAUAUAUGAUACAGUGCAUCUAUUUGAUUUUUUUGUGUAAAGUGGUUAUUGAAAUUACUUGUUUUUAUAUAAAAAUAAACCAUUUUGCAACAUG